rnacentral:rRNA from 1 species
AGAGUUUGAUCCUGGCUCAGGAUGAACGCUAGCUACAGGCUUAACACAUGCAAGUCGAGGGGCAGCAUGGUCUUAGCUUGCUAAGGCCGAUGGCGACCGGCGCACGGGUGAGUAACACGUAUCCAACCUGCCGUCUACUCUUGGACAGCCUUCUGAAAGGAAGAUUAAUACAAGAUGGCAUCAUGAGUCCGCAUGUUCACAUGAUUAAAGGUAUUCCGGUAGACGAUGGGGAUGCGUUCCAUUAGAUAGUAGGCGGGGUAACGGCCCACCUAGUCUUCGAUGGAUAGGGGUUCUGAGAGGAAGGUCCCCCACAUUGGAACUGAGACACGGUCCAAACUCCUACGGGAGGCAGCAGUGAGGAAUAUUGGUCAAUGGGCGAGAGCCUGAACCAGCCAAGUAGCGUGAAGGAUGACUGCCCUAUGGGUUGUAAACUUCUUUUAUAAAGGAAUAAAGUCGGGUAUGGAUACCCGUUUGCAUGUACUUUAUGAAUAAGGAUCGGCUAACUCCGUGCCAGCAGCCGCGGUAAUACGGAGGAUCCGAGCGUUAUCCGGAUUUAUUGGGUUUAAAGGGAGCGUAGAUGGAUGUUUAAGUCAGUUGUGAAAGUUUGCGGCUCAACCGUAAAAUUGCAGUUGAUACUGGAUAUCUUGAGUGCAGUUGAGGCAGGCGGAAUUCGUGGUGUAGCGGUGAAAUGCUUAGAUAUCACGAAGAACUCCGAUUGCGAAGGCAGCCUGCUAAGCUGCAACUGACAUUGAGGCUCGAAAGUGUGGGUAUCAAACAGGAUUAGAUACCCUGGUAGUCCACACGGUAAACGAUGAAUACUCGCUGUUUGCGAUAUACUGCAAGCGGCCAAGCGAAAGCGUUAAGUAUUCCACCUGGGGAGUACGCCGGCAACGGUGAAACUCAAAGGAAUUGACGGGGGCCCGCACAAGCGGAGGAACAUGUGGUUUAAUUCGAUGAUACGCGAGGAACCUUACCCGGGCUUAAAUUGCAGAUGAAUUACGGUGAAAGCCGUAAGCCGCAAGGCAUCUGUGAAGGUGCUGCAUGGUUGUCGUCAGCUCGUGCCGUGAGGUGUCGGCUUAAGUGCCAUAACGAGCGCAACCCUUAUCUUUAGUUACUAACAGGUUAUGCUGAGGACUCUAGAGAGACUGCCGUCGUAAGAUGUGAGGAAGGUGGGGAUGACGUCAAAUCAGCACGGCCCUUACGUCCGGGGCUACACACGUGUUACAAUGGGGGGUACAGAGGGCCGCUACCACGCGAGUGGAUGCCAAUCCCCAAAACCUCUCUCAGUUCGGACUGGAGUCUGCAACCCGACUCCACGAAGCUGGAUUCGCUAGUAAUCGCGCAUCAGCCACGGCGCGGUGAAUACGUUCCCGGGCCUUGUACACACCGCCCGUCAAGCCAUGGGAGCCGGGGGUACCUGAAGUGCGUAACCGCGAGGAGCGCCCUAGGGUAAAACUGGUGACUGGGGCUAAGUCGUAACAAGGUAGCCGUACCGGAAGGUGCGGCUG